UCCGCGCGUGGCCCGGGGGCGGUGUGAAGGGUGGGGGCGCGCGGGCGCGGGCUUCGGCCUAUAAAAGGGCCGCCCUGGCGUUUCCUCUUCCCGAACGUGCCGCGCGAGCUGCCGUACCGCCUCCUCUCUGCUGCUGCAGUGUCUGCGCCGGGCCAUUUAAUGAGAUUUAUUCACGCACGGCUCUUCUCAGCUUUGCGAGGGGUUGGCAGAUCCAGUGCACAGGGAUUUCCCACUACCAUGUUUUUCUCCCGCCCCCUUCCUUCCCUCUCGCCCUAAUACAUCUUUCGUUGGUUUCCUCGGCCCCGCAGGCUGCGUCCCGGGCACGCGCAAGUACAUGUAAGGACUUGUCAGCUGCCGGUGACCUCCCUCCUCCCUCGUCGCUCCUCCCCCAGCGGAAUGUAGGAUUAACAGUCUUUCCGAGAAAAUUUUGGCCAAAGAAAAAGGCCCGUGAAAGUCACCGCGUUAGACGUGGCCUCCUCGUGUUUUUCACUAACACGAUAUGGAAGGUUUUACUACCCGAAGGCAUAAAAGCACCACCGUGGGGAAGGGCCGUUUUGAAUAAACAACUUUAUUCAAAAAUCGAGAGGGGGUGAAGCGAUGCAGUUAAGGAAUUUUUUGUUUUAAAGAGUAGUAACAUGCAGCUGGCUUGGCUAUUAAAUUGGAAACGGGGUUCCUUCUGACUUGGCCACUGAUAUUGGGCCUGACCUUGGACAAAUAAUUUUGUUUCUUUGGGCUCAGUUUCUACAUAUGUAAAACGGGAAGGUUUCUCUUAAAAGCUAAUCCUGAAGGGUUUCUUCUCAACAAAAACAUGUAAGCUGUAGGAGGCAGAAAGCGUGGGUUCAAGUUCGAAAUUUGCCCCUGAAUUAGGACCCUUGACACAUUUCUAACCCAUCCAAGUAGAGAUCGUUCUUUUCCAUUUAUGUGUUAUACAGGUGCAUUUUAAUGGUUACCAGGUUGCCACGUAUUUGAAGUGGUGUGAGAGCUACUCGUUUGAACCGUUGUGGAUUUUCAAAUAGGAAAAUCAAAAGGCCCAAAGAGACAGCUCACUGAGUCUCACUCUGUCACCCCGGCUGGAGUCCAGUGGCGCAAUCUUGGCUCGCUGCAGCCUCCACCUCCCGGGUUCAAGUAAUUCUCCUGCCUCAGCCUCCCGAGGAGCUGGGACUACAGGCAUGUGCCACCACGCCUGGAUAAUUUUUGUAUUAUUAGUAGAGAUGGGGUUUCACCAUGUUGGCCAGGCUGGUCUCGAACUCCUGACCUCACGAUCCGCCCACUUUGGCCUCCCAAAGUGCUGGGAUUACAGGUGUGAGCCACCACACCUCACUGUGCUUUUUUUUUUUAAGUGGCUAUUUCUUGCCAGGAGAUUUGAGAUAUGGUGAGAAACAAAACAGACAUGGUCCCUUCCUUUAUGAAGUUUAUAGUCUAGCAUUCUAAAAAUGUAUUUUAAUCAUAUCAAUUAACAUUUAAUCAUCUCUUCUAGUUCACUGGCGUGUACUUACCACGUCUGCCUUUAGUAAAAGCCUACCAAGUCUCCUUUACCAAUACUGUUCAACAUCUGUUGACAUAUGCCUGUUAGCAGUUUAUAAUCUAGAACAGACAGUAGUAGCUACCAUACUUUUGUGGCAGAUACUAUAAGAUGGCUUAUUCAGUAUUCAUCCAACCCCCUUCUUCCUUACUUUUCUGUACUUUAAAAGCUGGAAAACAAACUACAGUUCUCAGACUCCUUUGCAGCUAGAUUGCUGGUGUGAGAUCAGUGGUGUGAUCAGUAAAUGUUUAACAAUGGCUGGAGAAGAGGGAAGGCCCUAAUUUGUAGCAUUGGCCAAUUCUAUUUGCUUUCUUUUUGAGGAACAGGGUCUCACGAUGUUGCCCAGGCUGGUCUUGAACUGCUAGGCUCCUCCCACCUCAACCUCCCAACUAGUUGGGACUACGUGGUACAAAUAUGUCCCCUACCAGAGUGACUUCAGUAAAUGUGGAGUUAGUUGGAAAGGAUGCUGACAAUCAGAAGCUGGCUUCAGUAUAUGACCUAGUUUCCAGCAAUCAGAUGUACAUACCCAUUCAGGACAUGGAUGUGAGAGCAAGCAACGUGAUGCUUCAGCUACACUCAGGGAGAUAAGUAUCUUCUGACAAAUACCAUGAAGGAGGUAUCUGGUUCCUCUGGGUAGGUAGGGAGGAGUUGUGGCAUCUGUUCUAGAGUCAUAGGUGCUGUCUUGCAGGCAGUGCUGGGAUGGGUUUCCACUAGAAUAGCUUUGUGAUGUGGGAUGGGUGUUCUUUGUGGUUUGGUUUUUCUUGGAUGAUGUUUCUAGCUUUGUUUAUCCAAGUCUGGUUCUCUGGCCCUCUGAGAGAUCUGUGAACUAAAUAGUAUCUUCUAAUCCCUUUUUGCUUCAAUCAGCCCAGUCACAGCCAGCUACAUAAUUUGUGGAGCCCAGAGCAAAAUGAAAACUUAAGGCCUCUUGUUCCAACACAGGGGAAAAUGUGCUAUUAUCUGUAUUAAAAUAUAAAGCUUUUUCUUUGUUCUGUCGUCGCUCUCUCCACUUGUCAUAGUGUUUUUAAAUUUGCUUUUUAAUGUCAUUCUACGAGAAGAAAAAUUAAAUUUUUUAAUUCUUAGGAUGAAUUUUACCAUUCAUCUUUAUAUUAUGUAAUGCCAUUUUAAAAUGAAAAUAUAAGAGCAUUUCAAUUUUAUGUGGAAUUACCAAAAUUAUACAAUUCAUAGCUUGUAAAUGCGUCUGUAUUUUGUGCUAUCAGAGCAGUGUAAACUCUGCACAAAACUAAACUAUUUUUAUUUUCCUUCUUGAUAUGCACACAUUCUACCAACAUUCUCCAUCUUCUGCUUACUGAUGAGUAAGGAAGGAUGAAAGGAAAGGGAGUGCUGAGUUGCCCUACUUUCCCUUUCAUUCUUUGUCAUCAUUUUUUUGUGUAAAUGGUUGGCUAAUAGUGGUAAGUAACACAUGAGUAAGGAAGGAUGUGAUGUAAUCACUUGUGUUUCUUAAAGAUGCUGUUGCCUUCUUUCUGCAUCUGAAGCAAAUUCUGAUUUGAAUGAAAAGUAUAGCCUCUUGGAACUGUCUAUGCCUCCACUAACUCAGUCAUAGAUGUUACAUGCUUGUUUUGUAUUAACUUUGUUACUCUCUUGAGUUCCUGCACCUCAUAGGUCCACCAGAAUCCUUUGUCAUGAGGCAUCAUGGAGACCGUAUGCAAAUAGAACGGCAAGGAAGAAAGGAUACAUACCUCUGCUUGCAUAUUAUGCUCUGCUAUACCACUGGACUUACAAAACAAAUAGUCAAACAUAAAAGUAUUACAAUUUUCAAGACAGUGACUGCAGAGCAUUAAACCAAGCACUGGGCCUUAUGUGACCAUACUUGUCGCAUGUUCAUGAAGUUGAUGGCUCUGAGCUCUUAGGUUUCUCAAAUGGGGCUUCUGGCAUUUUUGGCGAAACAGUUUUUCAUUGUGCAGGACAUUUAACAUCCCUGGCCCCCGUGCACUACAUGCCACUGUAACAAUAAAAAACUCCCCAUGUAUUUCUAAAUGUCCCCAAAGAGGAGUUGCCGCUCUCCACUGAACUUGUAGAGUGGCCUCCACUGUGUACAGCUAUGAACCAUGAGCACUACAGAGUUGAGUUAAAAAAGAUUUCAAAUUCUCAUAUCCUGGAAAGCAGAAUUAAGAUGACUUUUUUCGUAUUGUCAGACAAAUAAUACCACCUACAUUGAUGAUGAAACAAAUAUUUGAGAUAACAAUUUAAAGGUGGUUAGUGGGUUCUAUCUGUCACAUAUAAAUGGUAGUUGACUCCAGAUAGAUGGCAAUUUCUGAUAGUUUAAAAAAAAAAGAAAAGAGCAGAGCACCACAGAAAAGCAAAGAGAACCAUCUUACCUUCAUUAUCUUCAUCAGGUAGCCCCCAGGAAAAACUAAGAAAGUUGUCAUAAUAAGAUAUGCUACUCUUAUUACAUUGGAUUUGGAAUUUAGUUUCAUUAUAUCUAUUUUUUUUAAGGUAUAGUUCUUCAUUUAAGAAUAUUAACAUUGUCAGUGCCAGGCACAGUGGCUCAACUCUGUAAUCACAGCACUUUGGGAGGCCAGUGCGGGAGGAUUGCCUGAGCCCAGGAGUUCGAGACCAGGCUGGGCAACAUGGCGAAAAUCCAUCUCUACAAGAAAUACAAAAAUUAGCCGGGUGCGAUGGUGCAUGCCUGUAGUCCCAGCUGCUUGGGGGCUGAGGUGGAAGGAUAGCUUGAGCUUCGGGAGGUCAAGGCUGCAGUGAGCCUUGAGCCUCAUGAGCAUAGGAUUCUGGUGGACCUAUGAGGUGCAAGAGCUCAAAAGAGUAAUAAAGUUAAUAUAAGACAAACAUGUUACAUCUAUGACUGAGUUAGUGGAGUCAUAGAGUUGCCACUGUACUGCAACCUGGGCAACAGAGCGAGACCCUGUCUCAAAAAAAAAAAAAAAAAAGUUCUAGCUCUAUAGAGCUGAUUCUGCCUCUGCUAACUGUGAACUUCAGUUUCUAUGAACCUCAGUUUUCUCUUCAAUAAAACGGGUAAAAGUAUACUUACCUUAGGUUCUAAAUCAUUUCAUCAAAAGUGAAUUCAUUAAAAAAGUGUACCAAGAAUACAUUCAUUGGCCAGGCACGAUGGUUCACACCUGUAAUCCCAGCACUUUGGGAGGCAGAGGUGGGAGGAUUGCUUGAGCCCAGGAGUUUGAGACCAGCCUAGGCAACAUGCUGAAACCCUGUGGGACCGCGAGGCUGCUUGGUUGAGAGGUGGGAGGAUCACUUGAGCCCAAGAGGUCGAGGUUGCUGCACCACUGCACUCCAGCCUGGGUGGUGGAGCAAGAUCGUGUCUCAAAAAAAAAAAAAAAAAAGAAUACAUUUAUUAAAUAUAUUCAGGAUGAAUAUUCUCUAAAACAAAUAUUUGGUAAAUAUAGCAAACUGAUUCGUUGGCAAAUUACCUUUUAGCAAAUUGGACUGCUUUCCAUUCCUAUUAGGGAUAUUAUAAUGAUUAAAUGAAGUAUUGCCAAAAAUACUUAGCACAAUCUGAAUACACUUUAGCUGUAAUCCCCCCCGCCCCCGCCAACAUUCAUACUUGAAGUCCUGCCUAUUCUUUCUCCUGAACAUUCCCCAUUUUUGUCCACAUAAUCAUUGUCCUUUUGUAGCCUUUCACUAGCUUUAGGUAUACUAUUGCAGUAGUCACUUGAUUGGUCUCUUGGCUUAUUCCCCACUAAUUUCAUUUUCUACUGUACUGCAAGGGUGAUCUGUGUACCACAUAAAUUUUAAGUUAUCGUCUUCGUCAGAUUAUCAUCUAUUGCCAUAAAAACAGUGUUUAUGUCAUACCAACUUCAUGAUUUGGCCUAGAUAGAUACUCGGCUUCAUACCUUUUCACCUUUUCCAUUUAUCUUCUAGCACCAGUGAGGUAUUAUAGCUUCGUAAACAUGCCAUUCUUUUUGAAAAACUAUCAAAUCUCUGUGCAUUUGCCUUUCUAAGUGGCAUAGUACAUUCUCCCUUCUUGUCUCUUGGCAAAAUUCUUAUUUAUCUUUCAAGUUUUAGCUCAAAUGCCACUUCCUUGUAAAGGUUUCCCUGAUUUCCUCAAACAGAUUUAGGUGUUAUUUCUAGCCUUCCACUUCUCUUUGUAUGUGCUUCUAUUAUAAUGCUUAUAUUAUUGUAGUUGUUUGUUAGUCUGUCAUUCUAAUAGACUGUUACCUUCUUGAAGGAGCAGACCAUGUCUUUUCAUCUUUUAUAUACUAGAUCCAAGUAUAAUGCCUAGAAUAUAAGUUACCAACAUUUAUUGAAUUAAAAUUUUAAAAUCUGUUUACAACUCUCUCUACUGCCUGCCCAACACCCGUCCGUUACAUAUCAGUAAGCUAAGGCCCAAAGAAAUAAAGCUGUUUAGUGAGAACUCAUGCCUCCAAACUCUAGAUUUAUUACUUUUACUCCUAUACUUAGAGAAUCUUCUGAGGAGCGGCUAUAUAAGUAGUCAUUUCUAUGGUAAGAAAGACUGUCUUGUCACUGUUUUUUCAUUCAUCUUUAAGGAGAGGGUAGAAGGGCAUAGUGAUUUGACAAGAGUGGCAGUAUUUUCUUUCUUAUUCAAUCAUUUAGAUACUUUGUUUUCUAGUAAAUUUGGUAGAGUUCAAGCUAAUUUUUUUUUUUUUUUUAGAAAUUAUUUUAAUAGAGAUAAGGUCUCACUAUAUUGCCCAAGCUGGUCUCGAACUUCUGGGCUCAAGCGAUCUUCCUGCCUCAGCCUCCCAAAAUGCUGAGAUAACAGGUAUGAGCCACCAUGCCCUGAGAAAUUAUUCUUUUUGAGACAGGGUCUCUCUCUGUCACCCAGACUGGGGUGCAGUGACCCAGUCUCAACUCACUGCAGUCUUGACUUCCCAGGCUCAAGCAAUCCUCCCACCUCAGCCUCCUGAGUAGCUGCGACUACAGGCAUGCACCUCUACACUCAGCUAAUUUUCGUAUUUUUUUGGAGACAGAGUUUCACUAUAUUGCCCAGGCUGGUCUUGAACUCCUGAGCUCAAGUGAUCCACCUGCCUUGGCCUCCCAAAGUGCUGGGAUUACAGGUGUGAGCCAUGGCGCCCAGCCUCAAGCUAAAUUAUUCUUUGUGUCAUCCCUUUUCUUUCCUUCACUUUCAGAUAACUCAGUUUUCUUAACUACUGUAGGGUCAAAUGUCUGAAUCAUUUAGUCCAGUGUUCCUCAACCAGGGUGAUUUUUGCCUCCCUAGGGGACAUUUGGCAAAAUAUCUGGAGGCAUUUUUGAUUAUCACAUCUUACAAUGCAUAGGGCAGCCCCUACAACACAAAGAAUUAUCCGGUCCAAAAUGUCAAUAGUGCAGGUGUUGAAAAACCCUGGCCUAGUGUAAAGUAAAUUUUUACCCAGCCCUUCUUGCAGUCUCUUGCCUUUAUGAAAUCAUGAUGGAAAAGAAACUCAUUCCCUUUCGGAGGCAUUUGGAAGGCCUAAGUAAAUAUGGCAAAUUUUGAAGGCAAUUACAUCAACUAUACAAAGUCCAAAAAGGCUUUAUGCAGGUUUCUGCAAUUUCUCCAUAGAACUUUCCUGGGUACAAGGUAGGCACAUAAAUAUUUAUUGCCUAAAUGAAUAAUAAUAAAAUAAUUCUUGGCCAAAAGACAUAUUUUCUUUCUUUCUUUUUAAACCAAAGUCAGAUUUAUCGUGUGGUGAGAGGUGAAUUUCCUGAACAGAGAUCUCUCUAUUCAUUUUAAGCAAUUAAUUUACUCAGUUACUCAGAGAAGAAAAACUUUUCUGAAACAACUCUUCCACUUCCAUAAAUUAGCAGUAAUAGUCUUAAGGAAGGAAUCGAUAGCCUAUAAAUUAAAGAUGAUGUUUGAGGAACAAAAAAUAGAAGAAACUUUCAGAAUAGAGUAAUAUUAGAACUGAUGCCUGAGCUUUCCAGGACCCUCAUUUAAAUUACAUAUCCAGAAUCGAUAUUGGAGCAUUUCCAAUGGAUUAUGUUAUAGAUAGGCAGGAGGAGACCAAACACACAUAGAGUAAGGAUAGAUAAAAUUCCCAAUUUAAAUAAUUAAGAUGCAAAAUCUCAGAAGCAAGGUAUCUAUUUGGAUCAACAUAUCUCAGGGUAGUUUCCCCUGGCCCCAAAGUUUAUUGCAUUUUAAUAUUCACAGUGUAAAUCACAUUCCAGAAAAACUCCCACUAAAAAGCUUUUUACUGAGACUGGGCAGGGUGGCUCAUGCCUGUAAUCCCGGUACUUUGGAAGACCAAGGUGAGAUUAUUGCUUGAGCCCAGAAGUUUGAGACCAGCUUGGGCAACAUAGUGAGACCUUGUCUCUACAAAAAAUUAGCCAGGCGUGGUGAUGUAUGCCUGUAGUCCCGCCUACUCAGGAGGCUGAGGCAGGAGGAUUGCUGGAGCCUAGGAAGUUGAAGCUGCAGUGAGCUGUGAUCACCACUGCACUCCAGCCUGGGUCACAGAGCAAGACCCUGUCUCAAAAAGCAAACACACACAGAAAACUUUGUUAUUGACACUGGAUUCUCCUAGAUUUUGCUCUAUUUUACAUCCUCAUUCCAGAGGCCAGAAAAGACUACUUAUUCUCAGAUGUGUAAAUAUAGAUAAGUCCUUCUAUUUCUUCAUUUUCUCAAUAAAAUGUAUUUUUCCAAUUUUAAAAGUUUUAAAUGCAUAGCAUGGAAAAUAUGGAAGACAAUAAAGAAAAAUAUAGAACAUUCAGUCUCACCCAGUGGGAUUCAUGAUUAACAUUGUAGUCCAUUCUGUUUCUAGAAAAUUUUUCUGUAAAUACAUAGAGAAAAUAAUGUCCUAGUUUUUUCACUUUGCAUUAUAACAAGCAUUUUCCAUAUAAAUUAAAACUCUUCAUAUACAUUGAGGCCGGGCACGGUGGCUCACGCUUGUAAUCCCAGCACUUUGGGAGGCCGAGGCGGGUGGAUCACGAGGUCAGGAGAUCGAGACCACGGUGAAACCCCGUCUCUACUAAAAAUACAAAAAAAAAAAUUAGCCGGGCGUGGUGGUGGGCGCCUGUAGUCCCAGCUACUCGGAGAGGCUGAGGCAGGAGAAUGGCGUGAACCCGGGAGGCGGAGCUUGCAGCGAGCCGAGAUCGCGCCACUGCACUCCAGCCUGGGUGAGAGAGCCAGACUCCGUCUCAAAAAAAAAAAAAAAAAACAAAAACAAAAAAAACUCUUCAUAUACAUUGUUUUAAUGGCUGCAAAAUAUGCUGUGUUGUGGACAUACGAUAAUUUACCUAACCAUUUUCCCACUGUUAGCCAACAACAGAAUGGUUCAAAUUUUACAUUAUCGUGUAUAUCACACUGAGCAUUUUUAGGCUGAAAAUUUUGCUCCAUUUUGGAUCCUAUCCUGAAUUUUUCAAGGAACUUACUUUCUAAUUCAGUAUUUGAUAUCACCAGUUCUUGGUACAUGCCAUGUUCUUUCUACACAGAAGAGAGAAUUGCAUGUGAUACUCAUUCUGCCUGGUUUGCUCUUCCUUUCCCUGUCUCUUUUUGCCCAGUUAACCCACUCUUUUCUUUCUUAAAGAUUUCAGUAAGUAGGAGUAGAGACCUUCCUGUGUUAGUACUUACUCAAAAUAUUAUAAAAUUUGAAUAGGAAGAUUUUUUAAUAGAGGUUUUUUUGUUGUUUGUUUGCUUUUUUUACUUGAAGUUCCGGGAUACAUGUGCAGAAUGUGCAGGUUUGUUACUUAGGUAUACAUGUGCCGUGGUGGUUUGCUGCACCUAUCAACCCAUCAUCUAGGUAUUAAGCUCCGCAUGCAUUAGGUAUUUGUCCUAAUGCUCUCCCUCCCCUUGUCCCCCACCCCCCAACAGGCCCCGGUGUGUGUUGUUCCCCUCCCUGUGUCCAUGUGUUUUCAUUGUUAAUAGAGGUUUCAAAGAUUAUAAUUACAUCAGCUUAACUGUUAUCUCUUCACUCAGUCACCUAUUUAUUUUAUUUUAUUUAUUUUUUUUUUUAUUAUUUAUUUAUUUAUUUAUUUUUGAGACAGAGUCUCACUCUGUCACCCAGGCUAGAGUGCAGUUGCACGAUCUUGGCUCACUACAACCUCUGCCUCCCGAGUUCAAGCGAUUCUCCUGCCUCAGCCUCCCAGGUAGCUGGGAUUAUAGGUGCCCACCACCACACCCAGCUAAUUUUUGUGUUUUUAGUAGAGACGGGGUUUUGCCAUCUUUGGCCAGUGUGGUCUCAAAUUCCUGACCUCAGGUGAUCUGCCCACCUCGGCCUCCCAAAGUGCUGGGAUUACAGGCAUGAGCCGCCGUGCCUGGCCCAGUUGCCUAUAUUAAACAUGCAUUUUAUUGCUCAAUUCUAAGCUUUUUGUAUUAUGUUAACUUUUUAUUAACUCAUUGAUAUUUAUAAAAUCCUACGUUAAACGAUGUGGUUGAUGUUUUUUUUUCUUUAAAGAGUGAGACAUGGUCCUGGACUCCAGUAUUAUGUAAUUGACCAAUAAGCUGUAAGUUUCUUGACAUUAGGUAUCAUAUUCUACAUUUCCUUUUUUCUUUUAAGACAGGGUCUUGCUCUGUUGCCCAGGCUGGAGUGCAGUGGUGCAAUCACACUUCACUGCAGGCUUGACCUCCUGCGCCUAAGCGGUCCUCUCACCUCAGCCUCCUAAGUAACUGGGGCCACAGACAUGUGUUACUGCUCCUGGCAAACUUUUUUUUUUUCUUUUUUUUUUUUUUUGAGACUGAUUCUUGCUCUGUCACCCAUGCUGGGAUGCAGUAGUGCAAUCUCAGCUCACUGCAAGCUCCGCCUCCUGGGUUCACGCCAUUCUCCUGCCUCAGCCUCUUGAGUAGCUGGGACGAUGGGCUCCCACCACCAAUUUUUUUAUUUUUGUAGAGAUGGAGUCUCCCAGUGUUGCCCAGGCUGGUCUUAAACUCCUAGGCUCAAGGGAUCCUCCCAGCUGGGCCUCCCAAAGUGCUGGGAUGAUAGGCAUGAACCACCAUUCCCAGCCCGUUUCCUUUUUCCCUUUGCACAGUACCAGAUAUGGUUGGUACUGCAGAAAUAAUUUCCCCCUGCCCUCUACAUUGAUCAUUUGAUGACCAAAUAGUGUCCGUCUAGCCACUUAUUUAUGACUUGUACAAAACAUUCCGCUUUCUGAGGUAGACAGUGAUAUUCUAAAGCCAUCAGUAAGAGUAAUUUUCAGUUUGUUGAAAGUGAACAUUCUUUGUGUAAAGGUCAACCUGUCAGGAAAUAGCAUGCUACUCUGUUCUUUUAAGAUUAUUUUUAAAAACCUUUGUAUAUGUGUGUUUUUAUACUUAAAAAAAAAAAAAAAAAGUAGUGAGAAACUAUACCUAGUGGUCUCACCAGAUGUUUUCAAAUCAGAACUGAGGCAAUCUAGUUGUAAUUUAUUUUCACAAAUUAAUGAGAACAAGAGCUGAUAUUUUUCUUGCUUCAAUUAGCUGGUAAUUUCAUUCUCCAUUCCUCUUUAGCAGGGAAAAUCUAGCCUUAGGAUGAAAAUGUGAACCAGAGGUUCUUGCCAAGUCUGCAAAGCAGUAUAAAGAUUAGUUUUAUGAAUGAAGGAAAACACUACUCAUUUUUCUUAAGCGGCUGCUUACUUCUGCAUUUGUAUAAAAUGUUUUUAGACUGAAAGCUCAUAGAGAAAGGGGAAGGAUCCUCAUUCUAGAAUAUCUGCUCCCCUGUACUUAGCAUAUUCAUAGUCUUUCAAGACUUAAUUUAUUAAAGAUGUUAAAGACUGGCACUUGGCUUACAGUCUUCCUCCUUCACCUGAAUUCCUGCCCUCAUCCUAAGUAAAUUCAUCACCCAAGUAGACAGCCCAUCUAAUACUGUUGGGAAGGGAAGGUUAUACCGUGUUAUGUGUUAAUUUCUACCUUAUGCUAGGCCGGGCGCGGUGGCUCACGCUUGUAAUCCCAGCACUUUGGAAGGCCGAGGCGGGCGGAUCACGAGGUCAGGAGAUCGAGACCACGGUGAAACCCCGUCUCUACUAAAAAUACAAAAAAUUAGCCGGGCGUGGUGGCGGGCGCCUGUAGUCCCAGCUACUCGGAGAGGCUGAGGCAGGAGAAUGGCGUGAACCUGGGAGGCGGAGCUUGCAGUGAGCCAAGAUUGCGCCAUUGCACUCCAGCCUGGGUGACAGAGCGAGACUCCGUCUCAAAAAAAAAAAAAAAAAAAAAAAAUUUCUACCUUAUGCCAAAGUAUGGUAUUAUAAUUCUCCUUUGCAUACCCAAAGUUAACAAUAGGCGGAAUCAUUUGAUUAUCAUUCCCUUAGAUGUAGCUUUUAUCCUUUCCUGUUUUACUUUACAGUUUUGGGUCUAGUUCAUCUGAUAAGGUACAUUUCUAAUAUUUUUUAAAUUAAUAUUUAUUCAAUCAAAAAGAGCAUGUCUUAGACAUCAUGGGAUGAAAUGAUAACUGAAGGAAAAUAACUCUUAAAAAUAGUUACCCUAUUUAAAGAGGCUUUUGUAAAUCAAAGUAGUCUCUAGUUGUAAUUCAGGGCCAGAGGUCUUAGGCCCAGGUCCCUUGAGUUUUUUCAUUCUUGAGUUUCCCAGCUUCCCCCUUCUGCUCUCAAAGAUUUUCUAAAAACAUGCCCUUUUUUUCCCCUGUGGUAGCAGGGAAAACAGCACUAUUUGGGUGAGGAAUAGUAAUGGGGCUUAUUGGUAUGUAUAGGUCAUUUAUUGAAUGAUAGUAGAGCAUUCUGGUGUUUAAACUCUGCAGCCCAAUUUCCCUACUUACCUGCUCCAUAACGGGCAAAUUACUUUCUGUGCCUCAUUUUUCCUGUCUGUAAUAAACAGAUAAUAAUAGUAGUACCUACCUCUUAGUGUUGUUGUGAAGAUUGAAUUACAUAUAUUAAAUGAGUUAACACCUUAGACUGCUAAGCACUCAAUAACUGUAAACUAUUCACAAUUUAGCUUCUCUAUUUCCUAAAAUAUACUUAUUCAUCAAGAAGGAUGAUGUAAUAGUGAAAGGUAGGAGUUUUUAAAAUUUCGUUGAUUGGAUGUAAAAAGUAGAUUCUUAGAAUUUCAAAUAACCCAAGAAAUUAUUUAUACCAUUGGUUCUUAACCAGUAAUAUGCAUCAGAAUCAUUUAUGAGAUGUUGUAAAGAUACAUUUACCUAGGCCCUUUCUUCUCAUAUCUACCAAGUCAGAAUGCCCACAGGCAAUUCCAAUGCAGUCUUCCUGUCAAGACCAUUGAAAUAAUCCAAGUCUUUAGAUUUUAUAAUGAAGAAAUUGAGACUCAGAGAAAGUAAAUCACUUGCCUAAGACCCCAUAGAGUAAGUGAGAUCCAGGUUACCUACCUCCUUGGUAAGCGAUCUUCCUAUUCUUCUGUGUUGCCACCAAAUAUAUUAACUUUUAAAGAACCUAAUACGAGAACUUAUCCUUCUGUCAGUUAUAUCAGGAAGAAUAAUAUAGGCUUUAAAACUUACUUUAUUCAGCAUUUAAAUCAAAAUAACAAAAUUCCGGCCAGGUAUGGUGGCUUACAUCUGUAAUCUCAGCACUUUGGGAGGCUGAGGUGGGAGAAACCCUUGAAACCAGGAGUUUGAGACCAGCCUGGACAACAUAGUGAGACUCUAUCUCCAUGAAUAAUAAAAAAAACUAGCCAGGUGUGGUGGUGUGCACCUGUGGUCCCAGCCACUAGGGAGGCUGAGGUAGAAGGAUUGCUUGAGCCUAGGAGAUCAAGGCUGCAGUGAGUCAUGAUCACACCACUGCACUCCCAGCCUGGGAAACAGAGUGAGAUCGUGUCAAAAAAAAAAAAUUUUUUUUUAAUUUUUACAAUUUAUUCAGAGGACUAUUGCACCUGUACAGUAGAACUUAAAGUGAAUUUUGCUGUCCUUUUCAUGUGGACAUGAGUCUUUGCCACAAUGCUUACUACUAGUGAGUACAAGAAAACGCUGUGUGGGACAGAGUUGCUCGAUCCAACCUCACAGAUUGACAGGCAAACAAAUGUUUUAUAGGGCAAGGUAGCUGUAGGAAUUAAACUUUUUAGGACUUUCGAUAACAGAAUAUGUACUUCUCAUAAUUAGGGUUUUUUAAACAUUUUUAAGGAUUUUUAAACUUUUAUAAAAUAAUCUCAGAAUUUUCUAGUCUGUGAACAGUUCAUGUAGAAAAAUCAGUGGUUACUAUGUACACUGUUAUUGCAGCUUCACUGAAAGAUUAAAAAUCUAAAAAAUACAGUAAAAAUAAGUUCUGAGUUUUUGUAUUGAUGUUGGGUGCUGUGAUAUUAUCUCUU